rnacentral:misc_RNA from 1 species
GAUGAAGAACGCAGCGAAAUGCGAUAAGUAAUGUGAAUUGCAGAAUUCAGUGAAUCAUCGAGUGUUUGAACGCACAUUGCGCCCCCUGGUAUUCCGGGGGGCAUGCCUGUCCGAGCGUCAUUGCCGCCCUCAAGCUCGGCUUGUGUGUUGGGCCCCCGCCCCCCGGCUUCGGGGGGCGGGCCCGAAAGGCAGCGGCGGCACCGCGUCCGGUCCUCGAGCGUAUGGGGCUUCGUCACCCGUUCUGUAGGCCCGGCCGGCGCCCGCCGGCGACCCCAAUCAAUCUUUCCAGGUUGACCUCGGAUCAGGUAGGGAUACCCGCUGAACUUAAGCAUAUCAAUAAGCGGAGGA